UGCUUCUCUGAUGUUAGCGGCGGACGGGUGAGGAACACGUGGAUAACCUACCUAUAAGACUGGCAUAACUUCGGGAAACCGGAGCUAAUACCGGAUAAUAUUUUGAACCGCAUGGUUCAAAAGUGAAAGACGGUCUUGCUGUCACUUAUAGAUGGAUCCGCGCUGCAUUAGCUAGUUGGUAAGGUAACGGCUUACCAAGGCUGCGAUGCAUAGCCGAUCUGAGAGGGUGAUCGGGCACCCUGGAACUGACACACGGUCCAGACUCCUACGGGAGGCAGCGGUAGGGAAUCUUCCGCAAUGGGCGAAAGCCUGACGGAGCAACGCCGCGUGAGUGAUGAAGGUCUUCGGAUCGUAAAACUCUGUUAUUAGGGAAGAACAUAUGUGUAAGUAACUGUGCACAUCUUGACGGUACCUAAUCUAAAUGCCACGGCUAACUACGUGCCAUCCGCCGCGGGAAUACGUAGGUGGCAAGCGUUGUCCGGAAUUAUUGGGCGUAAAGCGCGCGUAGGCGGAUUUUUAAGUCUGAUGUGAAAGCCCACGGCUCAACCGU
rnacentral:rRNA from 1 species